CACCGUCUCCUUGUUUGCUGAGAAUAAAUGGUCCUUUGUGUGACAAGGGCAGCUGCUGUUUGAACCCGUGACUCACCCAGGAGAGAACCGAGGAAGGAGGAUGGUUGGGUUACAGAACCACUUCCAGCCGGGCCUGGAGGGGGGACUAGAAGACACGGUCAGAGAGAGCCCACAGGAUUAGUGACGGACAGGCUGUGAACCGUGAGAACAAGAGAAGGGUCAGGACGACUAAGCAGCUGGAGGAGAGGCCACCAAGUUGGCACCACCUGGGACGCCGUGGGGGCCGAGGGCAGAGCAGGCUGUGGGGGAACGCCGCGGGCUCACUUUCCGGCAUGUGUUACGCUUGCGACGUGUGUGUUCAUCCAAGGACAGACCUGAAGCAUCACAGUCGUCAAUAACAUACAGCAGGUGUAUCGUAAUCUACA